AUCACGCAGCUACAAAGUUUCUGCUUAAAAAGGGUUUAGCGUCAUUUCACACGUCUGACCUGCUGACUGCCUAAAUGUGAGCAUCAUAAUGGACAGGACACGAGCCUUUUAUCAUAUCAUCAAGCAGCAUUCAUUGAAAUUAAAGUGUCAUAUUUAAUCCAAAUAACACACGAGUAAAUUGUCCAAUACGCAUCAGAAUGAACAAAACAUUGCGAUGAGAGAUGUUGCUUUAUAAUAUUCUCCGUACUGUCUUUGCUUUAUUCCUGGUCUCUUGGUCCUGGUCAGUUAAUGUUUCGCGGGCUGGCUUCAUUUUUCAGAGGUCAUGGAAUUCAUGUCUCGAUAUUUAAGGCAAUACAUUCAACUCGGAACUUCAGUUUGCAAGACUCAAGGUUGACAAUCUGGAAUGCAAGGAAGAGCAAUGCCGUCCCACGCAGUCUGUGAUGUGUCAGCAGCAGCAACAUCUCCAUGCAGCUCAGCGGGUGUUCACUCCUGCCUGAUAUUUCCUCGUCUUGCACUGGGCCGGGCCGGCUCGCCUCUCCUCUUAACCUCGAAGAUCUCGAUCUCUUCUCCCUCUACAACUACCCCUUGUUCCUGCCUACUGGGCCGACCUCAGAAUCAUCAGCCAGCAGAGUUGUAAGACUCAUUUGUUUCAUGAACGUUGCUGGUAUUAUUGUAAAAUAAACUAUUUUCAUGAGAAACCUGAAUGUUUUGUAAACAUUGAUUUUUGUUCAUCAUUGGCUUACCAUGGAUGCCCACCUGGAUCCCCCCAGAUCCUUUAAUGCUUUCAGCACAAAAAAUGUCCUCCACUGCCGUUAGGUCCGAAGUUGCUGUUGGUGGUCCUCUUUCCGUGGCCACUUGCUCUUUUUUGUUAGCGGCAAGCUUUUGUUUUACCCAUCUUCUGACACCAUUGGAUCUUUUUCAGCAUUAAGCAGCCAUUCUUGUGAUGCCAGAAAAUGAGGACAAACUUACUGCUACCUCCUCCCAUGCCUGCUUCACCUCAAGGGGCUUUUGUGGAAUCCAGCUUGUUGUCCCGUAUAGAUUUUCACACAGAACAUUCACUGGCUCUGCAUCUUCAUACAGACUACCAUUCUCUACACAUUUCAAUUUGUCACACAGAUCUCUGCGGCGAGUGAAUGAGCCGUGCCUUGUGGUACCAUCAUAAAAGCAAACAAAAUCAGUUCCUUCUUCAUUGACCUUCAUUGUUUCUAGAAACAGUUUUCUAAUUCUACCCCAAACAACCCAUCAGCAUCAUCUUUUACUGAUUUAAUUUAAUUCUCUUCUCACCUAUUGUCACAGUUGUCAGCUUAUUACAUCUCAGCACUCGUCUGCUUCAUUUAUCUCUGAUCAAGACCAGAUUUAUGGAGUCUUGAGAGGCUUUAAGACCAAGACCACAAGAUCAAGACCCCAAUUCUGGCAGUAAGCCAUCUGUUGAUCAGCUUAUAAAACUAACACUUCCAGUGACAAAAUGUAUAAAAAUGAAAUCUAGUUUAUUUAACAAAGAGCCUAGUUUGUUCUUGGCUGCUCUUUAUAUGAAACCAUAUCCUGUGCUGGUUUAUGGAAAUGUGGCGGUCUUGUGCUAGAACAGAAAAAAGACUAAUAGCCCACUGCAUUUUAAUGAAAAACCAGUGUAGUCAAGACCUCAGCUCUAGAUUUCCCUCCAAUCUUACCCAAAACCAAAUGCUUUUGCACCUGACCGCUAUCAUUGUAAAGUGUCAAUUUAAGAAUAGCAGAUGUUAGAGAAGUGGUUACACAUUUCAAAAGCUUGAGCAUGCUUCAGUUUAUUAGUGUGGCACAACCGUAGUGUUUUUAAUUCCUUCUCAGUUGCCAUAUUUGUGUUUUUAUUUCACAGCAUUUAUAUUUGAAUAACUUUAUUUUUAUUGUGAAAUAACUAAAAGGUCUAAUCUGUAAUUACUUUUUUUCUGGUUUCCAUGUUUUGUGGGGAUAUUCCAUAGACGUAAUGCAUUUUAUACCGUACAAACUGUAUUUUCUAUUCCCUUCCCCUAACCCAAACCUUAACCCCAACCAUCACAGAAAACUUUGUUAUCUUAGAUUUUCAAGAAACAUCAUUCUGUUUAUAUUAUAGGCUUGUUUUCUCAUGGGUCCUCAAAAUGUCCCCACAAGGUAAAAAAAAUACUGGUAUUUCUAUUUUUGUGAGGACAAUUGGUCCCCACAACAUGAUAAUUACCAGGUACACACACACACACGCGCGUGCGCACACACACACACACACACUAUCAAAGUCAUUGAGCAGUCUCUCUUCCUGACUCAGGAAAUGGAGUAAAGUUUCUGUGGCCGUUCCACUGGACUGACUCUUGUCUGCAACCCAGACACACACACGCGCACACACGCGCACACAGAGAGAGAGAGAGAGAUUGAUCUACUGUAGCUAUUUGAAUGAGGACAUAUCUCAGAUUUAUACUGCUUUAUAUGAAGCUAAUUAUAGACUAAACCGAGCUUUAACCUUACUCCUAAAAACUCCUGUAGGAAACUGUGAUGAUUGUUUCUCUUUGACAGCAUUACAAUUAAAUAUAAUUUUUCACUCUAAGUGGUGAUGUGCUGUUGCAAUUUAGCAUUUGCUCACAUUUUCAUGAUGAGUUCAGUGCACAUUUUCUAGGUCAUGCAGCUUUUAAAAUAGCAUACU